rnacentral:rRNA from 1 species
GUAAUAAUCCUGUAGUCGAAAAUGUUGUCUCUCUUGAGUGGAUCCUGAGUACGACGGAGCACGUGAAAUUCCGUCGGAAUCUGGGAGGACCAUCUCCUAAGGCUAAAUACUCUCUAGUGACCGAUAGUGAACCAGUACCGUGAGGGAAAGGUGAAAAGCACCCCGGAAGGGGAGUGAAAUAGAACCUGAAACCGUGUGCUUACAAGUAGUCAGAGCCCGUUAAUGGGUGAUGGCGUGCCUUUUGUAGAAUGAACCGGCGAGUUACGAUUUGAUGCAAGGUUAAGCAGUAAAUGUGGAGCCGUAGCGAAAGCGAGUCUGAAUAGGGCGUUUAGUAUUUGGUCGUAGACCCGAAACCAGGUGAUCUACCCUUGGUCAGGUUGAAGUUCAGGUAACACUGAAUGGAGGACCGAACCGACUUACGUUGAAAAGUGAGCGGAUGAACUGAGGGUAGCGGAGAAAUUCCAAUCGAACCUGGAGAUAGCUGGUUCUCUCCGAAAUAGCUUUAGGGCUAGCCUCAAGUGAUGAUUAUUGGAGGUAGAGCACUGUUUGGACGAGGGGCCCCUCUCGGGUUACCGAAUUCAGACAAACUCCGAAUGCCAAUUAAUUUAACUUGGGAGUCAGAACAUGGGUGAUAAGGUCCGUGUUCGAAAGGGAAACAGCCCAGACCACCAGCUAAGGUCCCAAAAUAUAUGUUAAGUGGAAAAGGAUGUGGCGUUGCCCAGACAACUAGGAUGUUGGCUUAGAAGCAGCCAUCAUUUAAAGAGUGCGUAAUAGCUCACUAGUCGAGUGACACUGCGCCGAAAAUGUACCGGGGCUAAACAUAUUACCGAAGCUGUGGAUUGUCCUUUGGACAAUGGUAGGAGAGCGUUCUAAGGGCGUUGAAGCAUGAUCGUAAGGACAUGUGGAGCGCUUAGAAGUGAGAAUGCCGGUGUGAGUAGCGAAAGACGGGUGAGAAUCCCGUCCACCGAUUGACUAAGGUUUCCAGAGGAAGGCUCGUCCGCUCUGGGUUAGUCGGGUCCUAAGCUGAGGCCGACAGGCGUAGGCGAUGGAUAACAGGUUGAUAUUCCUGUACCACCUAUAAUCGUUUUAAUCGAUGGGGGGACGCAGUAGGAUAGGCGAAGCGUGCGAUUGGAUUGCACGUCUAAGCAGUAAGGCUGAGUAUUAGGCAAAUCCGGUACUCGUUAAGGCUGAGCUGUGAUGGGGAGAAGACAUUGAGUCUUCGAGUCGUUGAUUUCACACUGCCGAGAAAAGCCUCUAGAUAGAAAAUAGGUGCCCGUACCGCAAACCGACACAGGUAGUCAAGAUGAGAAUUCUAAGGUGAGCGAGCGAACUCUCGUUAAGGAACUCGGCAAAAUGACCCCGUAACUUCGGGAGAAGGGGUGCUCUUUAGGGUUAACGCCCAGAAGAGCCGCAGUGAAUAGGCCCAAGCGACUGUUUAUCAAAAACACAGGUCUCUGCUAAACCGUAAGGUGAUGUAUAGGGGCUGACGCCUGCCCGGUGCUGGAAGGUUAAGAGGAGUGGUUAGCUUCUGCGAAGCUACGAAUCGAAGCCCCAGUAAACGGCGGCCGUAACUAUAACGGUCCUAAGGUAGCGAAAUUCCUUGUCGGGUAAGUUCCGACCCGCACGAAAGGCGUAACGAUUUGGGCACUGUCUCAACGAGAGACUCGGUGAAAUCAUAGUACCUGUGAAGAUGCAGGUUACCCGCGACAGGACGGAAAGACCCCGUGGAGCUUUACUGUAGCCUGAUAUUGAAAUUCGGCACAGCUUGUACAGGAUAGGUAGGAGCCUUUGAAACGUGAGCGCUAGCUUACGUGGAGGCGCUGGUGGGAUACUACCCUAGCUGUGUUGGCUUUCUAACCCGCACCACUUAUCGUGGUGGGAGACAGUGUCAGGCGGGCAGUUUGACUGGGGCGGUCGCCUCCUAAAAGGUAACGGAGGCGCUCAAAGGUUCCCUCAGAAUGGUUGGAAAUCAUUCAUAGAGUGUAAAGGCAUAAGGGAGCUUGACUGCGAGACCUACAAGUCGAGCAGGGUCGAAAGACGGACUUAGUGAUCCGGUGGUUCCGCAUGGAAGGGCCAUCGCUCAACGGAUAAAAGCUACCCCGGGGAUAACAGGCUUAUCUCCCCCAAGAGUUCACAUCGACGGGGAGGUUUGGCACCUCGAUGUCGGCUCAUCGCAUCCUGGGGCUGUAGUCGGUCCCAAGGGUUGGGCUGUUCGCCCAUUAAAGCGGUACGCGAGCUGGGUUCAGAACGUCGUGAGACAGUUCGGUCCCUAUCCGUCGUGGGCGUAGGAAAUUUGAGAGGAGCUGUCCUUAGUACGAGAGGACCGGGAUGGACAUACCUCUGGUGUACCAGUUGUCGUGCCAACGGCAUAGCUGGGUAGCUAUGUGUGGACGGGAUAAGUGCUGAAAGCAUCUAAGCAUGAAGCCCCCCUCAAGAUGAGAUUUCCCAACUUCGGUUAUAAGAUCCCUCAAAGAUGAUGAGGUUAAUAGGUUCGAGGUGGAAGCAUGGUGACAUGUGGAGCUGACGAAUACUAAUCGAUCGAAGACU